rfam:Methylobacter tundripaludum SV96 genomic scaffold Mettuscaffold_2, whole genome shotgun sequence.
GGGCCUGUAGCUCAGUUGGUUAGAGCGCACCCCUGAUAAGGGUGAGGUCGGUGGUUCGAGUCCACCCAGGCCCA